UGCUCGAGUGGCGAACGGGUGAGUAACACGUGAGUAACCUGCCCUUGACUCUGGGAUAACUUCAGGAAACUGGGGCUAAUACCGGAUAGGAGCUCCUGCUGCAUGGUGGGGGUUGGGAAGUUUCGGCGGUUGGGGAUGGACUCGCGGCUUAUCAGCUUGUUGGUGGGGUAGUGGCUUACCAAGCUUUGACGGGUAGCCGGCCUGAGAGGGUGACCGGCCACAUUGGGACUGAGAUACGGCCCAG
rnacentral:rRNA from 1 species